rnacentral:rRNA from 1 species
GACGAACCGUGCGAACGUUGUUCGGAUUCACUGGGCUUAAAGGGCGCGUAGGCGGGCGACCAAGUCAGGGGUGAAAUCUUUCGGCUCAACCGGAAAACUGCCCCUGAUACUGGCCGUCUUGAGGGAGGUAGGGGUCUGUGGAACUCUUGGUGGAGCGGUGAAAUGCGUAGAUAUCAGGAGGAACGCCGGUGGCGAAAGCGACGGACUGGACCUUCUCUGACGCUGAGGCGCGAAAGCUAGGGUAGCGAACGGG